GACGAACGCUGGCGGCGUGCUUAACACAUGCAAGUCGAACGGAAGUUACGAGGAAGCUUGCGAAUUGUAACUUUAGUGGCGGACGGGUGAGUAACGCGUGGAUAACCUACCUUAAGGACUGGGAUAACACCGGGAAACUGGUGCUAAUACCGGAUAAGCUCAUCGGAGCACAUGCUUUGAUGAGGAAAGGAGCAAUCCGCUUUAAGAUGGGUCCGCGUCCCAUUAGCUAGUUGGAGGUGUAAGAGACCCCCAAGGCGACGAUGGGUAGCCGGCCUGAGAGGGUGGACGGCCACACUGGAACUGAGACACGGUCCAGACUCCUACGGGAGGCAGCAGUGGGGAAUCUUCCGCAAUGGGCGAAAGCCUGACGGAGCAACGCCGCGUGAAUGAUGAAGGCCUUCGGGUUGUAAAAUUCUGUCUUCAGGGAAGAAAAAAAUGACGGUACCUGAGGAGGAAGCCCCGGCUAACUACGUG
rnacentral:rRNA from 1 species